AGUGAACGCUGGCGGCAGGCCUAACACAUGCAAGUCGAACGGCAGCGCAGCAGUAGCAAUACUGUGGGCGGCGAGUGGCGGACGGGUGAGGAAUACAUCGGAAUCUACCCUGUCGUGGGGGAUAACGUAGGGAAACUUACGCUAAUACCGCAUACGACCCACGGGUGAAAGCGGCGGACCGCAAGGCGUCGCGCGACUGGAUGAGCCGAUGUCCGAUUAGCUAGUUGGCGGGGUAAGAGCCCACCAAGGCGACGAUCGGUAGCUGGUCUGAGAGGAUGAUCAGCCACACUGGAACUGAGACACGGUCCAGACUCCUACGGGAGGCAGCAGUGGGGAAUAUUGGACAAUGGGCGCAAGCCUGAUCCAGCCAUGCCGCGUGUGUGAAGAAGGCCUUCGGGUUGUAAGCACUUU
rnacentral:rRNA from 1 species